rnacentral:rRNA from 1 species
AGAGUUUGAUCAUGGCUCAGAUUGAACGCUGGCGGCAGGCCUAACACAUGCAAGUCGAACGGUAACAGGAAGCAGCUUGCUGCUUCGCUGACGAGUGGCGGACGGGUGAGUAAUGUCUGGGAAGCUGCCUGAUGGAGGGGGAUAACUACUGGAAACGGUAGCUAAUACCGCAUAAUGUCGCAAGACCAAAGAGGGGGACCUUCGGGCCUCUUGCCAUCGGAUGUGCCCAGAUGGGAUUAGCUUGUUGGUGGGGUAACGGCUCACCAAGGCGACGAUCCCUAGCUGGUCUGAGAGGAUGACCAGCCACACUGGAACUGAGACACGGUCCAGACUCCUACGGGAGGCAGCAGUGGGGAAUAUUGCACAAUGGGCGCAAGCCUGAUGCAGCCAUGCCGCGUGUAUGAAGAAGGCCUUCGGGUUGUAAAGUACUUUCAGCGGGGAGGAAGGGAGUAAAGUUAAUACCUUUGCUCAUUGACGUUACCCGCAGAAGAAGCACCGGCUAACUCCGUGCCAGCAGCCGCGGUAAUACGGAGGGUGCAAGCGUUAAUCGGAAUUACUGGGCGUAAAGCGCACGCAGGCGGUUUGUUAAGUCAGAUGUGAAAUCCCCGGGCUCAACCUGGGAACUGCAUCUGAUACUGGCAAGCUUGAGUCUCGUAGAGGGGGGUAGAAUUCCAGGUGUAGCGGUGAAAUGCGUAGAGAUCUGGAGGAAUACCGGUGGCGAAGGCGGCCCCCUGGACGAAGACUGACGCUCAGGUGCGAAAGCGUGGGGAGCAAACAGGAUUAGAUACCCUGGUAGUCCACGCCGUAAACGAUGUCGACUUGGAGGUUGUGCCCUUGAGGCGUGGCUUCCGGAGCUAACGCGUUAAGUCGACCGCCUGGGGAGUACGGCCGCAAGGUUAAAACUCAAAUGAAUUGACGGGGGCCCGCACAAGCGGUGGAGCAUGUGGUUUAAUUCGAUGCAACGCGAAGAACCUUACCUGGUCUUGACAUCCACGGAAGUUUUCAGAGAUGAGAAUGUGCCUUCGGGAACCGUGAGACAGGUGCUGCAUGGCUGUCGUCAGCUCGUGUUGUGAAAUGUUGGGUUAAGUCCCGCAACGAGCGCAACCCUUAUCCUUUGUUGCCAGCGGUCCGGCCGGGAACUCAAAGGAGACUGCCAGUGAUAAACUGGAGGAAGGUGGGGAUGACGUCAAGUCAUCAUGGCCCUUACGACCAGGGCUACACACGUGCUACAAUGGCGCAUACAAAGAGAAGCGACCUCGCGAGAGCAAGCGGACCUCAUAAAGUGCGUCGUAGUCCGGAUUGGAGUCUGCAACUCGACUCCAUGAAGUCGGAAUCGCUAGUAAUCGUGGAUCAGAAUGCCGCGGUGAAUACGUUCCCGGGCCUUGUACACACCGCCCGUCACACCAUGGGAGUGGGUUGCAAAAGAAGUAGGUAGCUUAACCUUCGGGAGGGCGCUUACCACUUUGUGAUUCAUGACUGGGGUGAAGUCGUAACAAGGUAACCGUAGGGGAACCUGCGGUUG